UGCAGUAUGGUGUAAUGAUGCAUGUGGGAUUUUCUUAUGGUCUGAAUAUAUCUAUCCCGAGGUCCUUGUUCGAAUCAAGGUAUUGCUC